rnacentral:rRNA from 1 species
UACGUGGGGUGCAAGCGUUGUUCGGAAUUACUGGGCGUAAAGCGCGUGUAGGCGGCGCAUUAAGUUCGAUGUGAAAGCCCUGGGCUUAACCCAGGAACUGCAUUGAAAACUGAUGUGCUUGAGUCCGGGAGAGGGUCGCGGAAUUCCUGGUGUAGAGGUGAAAUUCGUAGAUAUCAGGAGGAACACCGGUGGCGAAGGCGGCGACCUGGACCGGUACUGACGCUGAGACGCGAAAGCGUGGGGAGCAAACAGG